UCCAUCCAUGAUUUAUGGUUCCCUCCGCCGCCGCCACUCCCUGCCAUCUCCUGUCUUCCGAUCCCAUCCCCAACCCCGCCGCCCGCCGCCCGCCGCCACCUGAUCACCCGGUCAUGCCCGCACUCGCCCUCCUCCGCCUCCACGGCGGCGUCAUCCUACUUCGCCGGUAGGAUCCCGCUGUCCAACACCUUCUUGCACCCGCUCUCGACUUCCUCCCGGUCCUCAACACGAGGGCAAUGACAAGGAGGACACCAUCUCAGCGGCGGCGGCCGCGUCGUGGGUGGAGAGGUGGCUCCCGGAGGCGGCGCGCCCGUACGCAUGUGGUUGAGCGCACCAAAAGCAGGCCGUUUGCAUCAGGUGCUCUAACCCUUCUCAACCGAGUGUGUUCCUUGGAUCUCAGCUACUGCUGGGAUUGGGCAUUCUUCUCGAGCUGAACGACUUUAGGUCGGAAGCAGAGCUCAAAUAGGCGUAUGGUUGUAAAAGUGAUGUAUUAGGAUGUAUUUGCUCUAUGAAAAGGCAAAGUUCAGAAUCCUCAGUUCUAUUUUGGUCAAAUUAAUAGCCAGAUAAACAUAGCCGCAUCUGCGCCAAUCAGACCCUCCUUGCACCACGCCCUGUGGUGAUCUACAUGUCUUCCGCAGCGACACGCAUGAUCCACCUUUGGAGAAACUCUACUGGUUUGCUUUUUUGCUUUUUGAGAAAGUGAAUGUGAACACGUGUUGGAUGAUGACCACACAACCUAUAACUCUCCGUUGUAGCGAGAUGGAUCACCCUUGCAUCCAACACCGCACUUGGGUUAUCAAGGUUAUUGAACAUCCAGAGGACCUAGACGAUAUUCUGCUUUGAGAUCGAUUACGUGUCAAGCACAAUUGCAGCGAUGCUGAGGGAGCUCCCUGAUUUGAAAAUGCUGGCACUCUCCAGAUGUGGAGCUGUCCUCCGCAGGGGCGCUGGUUGCACAGUGAAUGAUAUUCUAGAUCCUGACAUUGAUAACAAGGUUGAGCGCACCAAAAGCAGGCCGUUUGCAUCAGGUGCUCUAACCCCUUCUCAACCGAGUGUGUUCCUUGGAUCUCAGCUACUGCUGGGAUUGGGCAUUCUUCUCCAGCUGAACGACUCUAGGUCGGAAGCAGAGCUCAGAUAGGCGUAUGGUUGUAAAAGUGAUGUAUUAGGUUGUAUUUGCUCUAUGACAAGGCAAAGUUCAGAAUCCUCAGUUCUAUUUUGGUCAAAUUAAUAGCCAGAUAAACAUAGCCGCAUCUGCGCCAAAGAUUGCAACAGUGCGCAAGCGGAAUCAGGUUAUCUCUUGGGCAUUUUCUUGGCGUUGUUAAACAUCCUGGUACUGAUGAUAAGCAAGCAAACAAGGAAAGCAUUGUUGUAGUGCACUUAUGUGGUUACCAGCAGCGGCAGUCCUCUAGAACCAAAAUUCACGAGUCAGCCUAACGCUGAAUACAUGGGAAUGUGGUAGAUUGUCGGUCUUCCCAUUCAUUUUUCGCACCUAUAGCUCAGAGCCGCUGGGUAAUAAAGCAGUAGAUGAAUGUACCAAUAAAGCAGUGGUGCACCUUAAAAUUGGUGACAAUCAAGUAACAACUAUAUUUAAAAGUUCAUAAAAUUCUGAGAAAUAUAUGAUAUUUUGGGAGGAACAAUAAAUGGCGAUAAACAAUACAACAUCACUAAUCAUGCGUAAUUUUUUUCUGUAUCCAUGAAUGUGAGUUUGAACUAUCAGUUUCACGUGAUUAUGGAAUGUCUUCCUAACGCAUUUUUUAUUUUGGUUUUUGAAAAAUAAAACUAGAUGUGGUUUCCACACAACAAAAGUUUGUGUAACCUGUUUUCCACCUGAUAAGUUCUCAAAGGUACUUUUGGAUAACAAGUUUAAACUAUUCUGGUGACAAUGCUUCUUAUUUGUAUGAUGAUGUGUAUUGAUGUCUAGAGCAUUAUAAAAUGUCAAUAUGGUGAUUUUGUAGAUGACUAUGAGGAUGAAAAUAGCCUUGCUGAGGAUCAUAGGAACAAGUCUACAUUAUGAUGCCCAUACAAUUUUUGGUGGAGAUAAACUUCUUAGCAUUUCAAAUACUACUACUUUGGAUUUCAAAUGGUACUAGUUUGGAUCUCUAAUUUUGGGUUAAUGUUUGCAGAAAUACAUACUAUGAGAGAACAAGUUUCAUGUUAUCCAGAUAUUACUAUUCAAAACAUAUAUCUGAUAUGUUUUCAUGAAUAUAUGGUAUGAGAGAACAAGUUCACUACA